rnacentral:rRNA from 1 species
UACGGGGGGGGCAAGCGGUUGUUCGGAAUUACUGGGCGUAAAGGGGCUCGUAGGCGGCCAUCUAAGUCGGACGUGAAAUCCCUCGGCUUAACCGGGGAACUGCGGAUGGAAACUAGCGAGCUGGAGUGUGGCAGAGGGGGGUGGAAUUCCGCGUGUAGCAGGUGGAAAUGCGUUAGAGAGUGACGGAGGAACACCGAUGGCGAAGGCAGCCCCCUGGGCUAACACGUGACGCCUCGAGGCACGAAAGCGUGGGGAGCAAACAG